GGUUGAUCCUGCCAGUAGUCAUAUGCUUGUCUCAAAGAUUAAGCCAUGCAUGUCUCAGUACAAGCCAUAUUAAGGUGAAACCGCGAAAGGCUCAUUAAAUCAGUUAUGGUUCCUUAGAUCGUACCCACAUUUACUUGGAUAACUGUGGUAAUUCUAGAGCUAAUACAUGCAAACAGAGCUCCGACCGGAAACGGAAGGAGUGCUUUUAUUAGAUCAAAACCAAUCGGCGGCAAUUUUGUAUCCACUUAAUUGUUCGUCGCACUUUUUGGUGACUCUGAAUAACUUUUGGCUGAUCGCACGGUCUCGCACCGGCGACGCAUCUUUCAAAUGUCUGCCUUAUCAACUGUCGAUGGUAGGUUCUGCGCCUACCAUGGUUGUAACGGGUAACGGGGAAUUAGGGUUCGAUUCCGGAGAGGGAGCCUGAGAAACGGCUACCACAUCCAAGGAAGGCAGCAGGCGCGCAAAUUACCCACUCCCGGCACGGGGAGGUAGUGACGAAAAAUAACGAUACGGGACUCAUCCGAGGCCCCGUAAUCGGAAUGAGUACACUUUAAAUCCUUUAACAAAAAUCAAUUGGAGGGUAAGUCUGGUGCCAGCAGCCGCAGUAAUUCCAGCUCCAAUAGCGUAUAUUAAAGUUGUUGCGGUUA
rnacentral:rRNA from 2 species